UUUGGUUCCAAGUCCAAGAUGGCAAGUCUCAAGGAUCAGCUAAUUGAGAAUCUUCUUAAGGAAGAAUAGGUCCCCCAGAAUAAGAUUACAUUUGUUGGGGUUGGUGCUGUUGGCAUGGCCUGUGCUAUCAGUAUCUUAAUGAAGGACUUGGCAAAUGAACUUGCUCUUAUUUUCAUGGAAGAUAAAUUGAAGGGCGAGAUGAUGGAUCUCCAGCAUGGCAGCCUUUUUCUUAGAACACCAAAAAUUGUCUCUGCAAAAACUAUAAUGUGACUGCAAACUCCAAACUCGUUAUUAUCACAGCUGGGGCACAUCAGCAAGAGGGAGAAAGCUGUCUUAAUUUGGUCCAGCGUAAUGUGAACAUCUUCAAGUUCAUCAUUCCCAGUGUUGUAAAAUACAGCCCACAUUGCAAGUUGCUUAUUGUUUCCAAUCCAGUGGAUAUCUUGACCUAUGUGGCUCGUAAGAUAAGUGGCUUUCCCAAAAAAACAUUUUAUUGGAAGUGGUUGCAAUCUGGAUUCAGCACGGUUCCGUUACCUGAUGGGGGAUAGGCUGAGAGUUCACCCAUUAAGCUGUCAUGGGUGGGUCCUUGGGGAGCAUGGAGACCUUAGUGUACCUGUGUGGAGUGGAGUGAAUGUUGCUGGUGUCUCCUUGAAGAAUCUGCUCCCAGAUUUGGGCACUGAUGCAGAUAAGGAACAUUGGAAAGAGGUUCAUAAGCAGGUGGUUGACAGCGCUCAUGAGGUGAUCAAACUAAAAGGCUAUACAUCCUGGACCAUUGGACUGUCUGUGGCAGAUUGGGCAGAAAGUAUAAUAAAGAAUUUUAGACAGGUGCAUCCAAUUUCCACUAUGAUUUAGGGUCUCUAUGGAAUAAAGGAUGAUGUUUUUCUAAGUGUGCCUUGCAUCUUGGGACAAAAUGCAAUCUCAGAUGUCGUGAAGGUGAAUCUGCCUCCUCAGGAAGAGGCACAUUUGAAGAAAAGUGCAGAUACACUUUGGGGAAUCCAAAAAAAGCUUCAGUUUUAA